AUGGGAGACCAGGAAUAUCUUAUCAAUGGCUACGCCGUGUGGGUGGGUUAUCUGUCCAUGGCCAUCAGUGGCUUGGGUUUCCUGGUGCUUACUUGGACCACUGUUGUACUUCUUGGUGGUUUCGUGUCUGAGCUACAUAAGGAGGACUUUUGGUGUGCGGCGUUCAUCACCCUUGUACAAACAGCUGGGAUUUUUGAUGUUACUCUGAAUGAGAAACUAGGCUAUAUGGAGGAUGCGCUCCUCGGGUUCUUGGCGGCCAUUUCAUUUGGCAUUGUACCCGAUGACGCGCCGAGCAAGAGUUGCGCCCAAGAUUUGUUGUCUUUUCUUCUCUUCUUCUCGGUAAUUCUUUUAGUGUUGGUUCAAGUAAUGGUGUUGGCCAUAAUAUUGAGCCCUCUCGCAAUUAUAUAUGUGCUUGGGAUAUUCAUGUCCGGAGUGAUCUCAUGGUGGCGUCUGAUAGAGCACGAUCACGGGGGCAACUCAGAUGAAAAAGCAUCAAACCUAGCACCAGCAUUGCAGAUCUUGUACUACCUUGCUCUGCUCCAAGGCGUGCUCUUCUGCUACAGGUUUCUGUUGACUCUCACGGAGAAGAAGUUUUCUAAGACUCUGGUCACUGAAGACUCGAUGGCCACUGAAGACUCGGAAGUUCAAGCAGUACUUUACAACUACUUGCGUAAAACAAGGAGAGGAUGUGAGAAGGACCCGACAUUUACCCAAGGAAGGAACCUCGUCACACAUGCUGUAGACAAGAUUGGUUCCAAUUCACCUGUUGACUGCAUUUCCGGGGUAAAGAUCCUAUACGCAGCCAUAUGCAUGGUGGAGAGAAAGAAUGAUUGGUCCAAUGUCCAUGGGCAGCGCAUGCUGAUAAAACAUCUUGUCUUGUCUACAUCAUCCUCUCGGCAUGUACUGCCGAAACUGCUAGAGAUGCUAGAUUCAAGAGGCCUACAUGACAGAAAGGGUAGAAUUCAAGCCGCGAUGAUAGUGGAGCGACUUGCAUUCUACAUUAAUUUGGAGCAGUUUCCUCGGAGUAUUCAACACAUAUCUUCCUUGAUCGGGACGUUUGAACAAUAUAGUAUAGCCGAGCCAUAUCCCAGAUCAAGGGAUGGAUACGAGCAGCAUCUGAAACUGCAGGUUACUCGUCGGCGGCCCUCACCAGCCGGCGAACUUGGGAAGGCCUACAAGGAGUUGUUGCUACAAGGCCUGUCUAUCCUCCGGAACCUUGCCGCAGACGAAAACAAUUGCAGAAUCAUGAGCGACACCCGAGAUCUGGUCUGCAAGAUCAUGGCACCUGUCACUUGCGACCUACUCGACCACACCGCCGAUGAUCAUGGUACAUGGUGCGAAGUAGUAGGCCGAUCGAUGGAGGUGAUGAGCCAUUUAAGCGGUGCUCAAGGAGAAACUGGGGCCAAGCUACGCCGUGAAAUCUCAAGUUGCGCAGAAACAAUCGGCACACUACUAAGGAUUCUUAGCUGUAAAAAUUGCAAAGAAGAGUUGCGGCAAAGAGCCAUUUGGAUUCUCGCACGACUAUACAUGGAUACCAACGGAAUCAACAGAUCAGCUGGUUUUCAUCUUCUCAAAAAUGAAAAUAGUUGUUGCGGAGAAGACUUUGUUGGGAUGCUAGUCAACAUCUUCACUCGGGAUAAUGAGUAUAGCAGCUCCAUCAGAGGAUACGCGGGAGAAGCGCUGUCAAAUAUAUGUUCCCUUGGCGGAAUUAGUGAUGCCACAACUAUCAUACAAACAAGUGGUGAUGUUGUUGAUAGUCUCACUCAAGUGCUUUUACAUGAAGAAAACGAGACGUGCAGACAAGCAUCAGCUGAAAUCCUUGAGCGUCUAUGUACCCAUUACACCAAGGAUGAUGAAUACCUUCACAAACUUAAGAAAGCAAUCCUCAAGGUGAUUGGAAAAAUACUUUCUUGUGGAGACGGAACACAUAAUGGAGAAGACAUAGAGAGCCAAUGUGAUGGCACACAAGAAAACAAUGAGCCGGACAAGGAUGCCCAGGGAUUCCAAGUAGACACACUCUCAACUAUGUCAUCGAACUUGCUUUCAUCAUUGUUAUGCCUUUGCGGGGCGGUCUACAACACGCCGUUGGUCGUUGAUUUGCCUCCUCAGCUGGAUGCAUCUAGCUUUCUAAACAAUCUCAGGGACAUGGUAGUGAAAAGAAGUGGCCCCACCGUCGAAAACCUGUCAGUGUGCAAGGCUGCCGGUAAUAUGGUCAUAUCAAUGCUGAAAUACUACAGUGGCGGGUUCUUCAAACAAGAACACUUUGGGAGCUUGAUAGAGGCACUCUCUAGUGCUUCUGAGAACAUGCUGGAUCUCGACUACUCCGUGGUUUGCUCUUCCGCCAGCAGCUCCGAAGCCAGAUCAAAGCUUGACAGGCGUACCCUCGUGUCCCUCGUGAGAGAAGCCAAAGAAUUGCAUGCCAUGGCACCAUCUACAUCUUUGAGUGGCUGA
rnacentral:rRNA from 1 species